rnacentral:lncRNA from 1 species
CUGAAGCCUCCCAGCUGGGAGGGCGCAGCUGGAGCAGCAGGAUUUGGCUUCCCUGGGCGGUUGGGUUUUGGCUCGGGUGGGCAAGGGAGUGGUUUUUUAGGGAGCUAGGUGGGCGGCGAUGCGCAGGGCCUCCGCUGUGCCCAGCUCCAUGGAUUUUAAGGACAAGGGCGAGGGGCAUUUCCAUCCCUUCCCCUGCCUGCAGGACCAGUGCUUCUGGCUCCUCACUCCACAGUUGCUCCAUGUUGAUGCCAACACCAAUAUCCCUGCAAAGCUGCCUCCCCCCAGAUUUCCCUUCGGAAAUACUGAUUUUACUGCCUAGACCCAAAAACCAGCCCCAGAAAGAGGUGAUCCCCACUUUGCAUCCUGGCACCGCAGGGGGGGUUUAACACUGCUCUGGGCCACGCGUCUCUUAUUUUUGCUCAAGCAAACAGGGCAAGCCGAGACUGGGAGGGCUGGGACUGUGCAGGGGGAAAGGGGAAAGCACUUCAGCUGUUGGGCAUCUGGGUGCCGGGACAGCCGCGUGUCCGGCAGCGCUGGGCCUGAUCACAUCGGUGCCAGCCGCGGGCACCCUGGGGAUGGGAGAGGUGGCCAGCGCGGGGGUGGCAGCGCUGACGUGACACAGGGGAAAAUAAAGACAGCAGACUUCCUCGUACGCCCGGAGAUCAGAUUUUUCCAGAGAAAUCAUGCCAGCUGUGUGCGGAGUGGCAGUUUUGGGGCGCGGGGCACACAGGGAGACGCACGAGACCCAAAGCUCCAGCUUCGCCCCGUCUGUGCGAUCGCUGUGCCGGCGGCGCUGGCCAGGCUGGGACAAGCCAGCGAGAGGCAGAGGUUGAUCGAGCUGGCAGGGAAGGAGCCCGCUCGCCCGCGGCCCCGUGAGUCAGCGGUGGCCCAGCUUUGCACUUGGGCUCCAGAGCGCUCGCAGCCGCCCGCCCGCUCGCCCAGCCUCGGCAAGGGCGCGAUCCCCAGCGGCGCCGCAGCCGGCCGGCUGAGCGGGCACGUGCUCGCACGCUUUGCUGAAUCAACCCUCGCCGAAACAACCCCAACCCACCGGGUUUCUCCGGCCCAGCCAAGCAGCGAGGGCUCGGCUCCCUCCACGUGGGGGCACGGCGAGGCAGAGCCCCUCGCCGCAGCCUCUGUCCCCAGCGCCAGCUGAAGCC